rnacentral:rRNA from 1 species
UGCCCCAGUAACGGCGAGUGAAGCGGCAACAGCUCAAAUUUGAAAUCUGGCUCUCGGGCCCGAGUUGUAAUUUGUAGAGGAUGCUUUUGGUGAGGUGCCUUCCGAGUUCCCUGGAACGGGACGCCAUAGAGGGUGAGAGCCCCGUCUGGUUGGACACCGAUCCUCUGUAAAGCUCCUUCGACGAGUCGAGUAGUUUGGGAAUGCUGCUCUAAAUGGGAGGUAUAUGUCUUCUAAAGCUAAAUACCGGCCAGAGACCGAUAGCGCACAAGUAGAGUGAUCGAAAGAUGAAAAGAACUUUGAAAAGAGAGUUAAAAAGUACGUGAAAUUGUUGAAAGGGAAGCGCUUGUGACCAGACUUGGGCUUGGUUGAUCAUCCGGGGUUCUCCCCGGUGCACUCUUCCGGCUCAGGCCAGCAUCAGUUCGCCCUGGGGGAUAAAGGCUUCGGGAAUGUGGCUCUCUCCGGGGAGUGUUAUAGCCCGCUGCGUAAUACCCUGUGGCGGACUGAGGUUCGCGCAUUCGCAAGGAUGCUGGCGUAAUGGUCAUCAGUGACCCGUCUUGAAACACGGACCAAGGAGUCGUCUUCGUAUGCGAGUGUUCGGGUGUCAAACCCCUACGCGAAAUGAAAGUGAACGCAGGUGAGAGCUUCGGCGCAUCAUCGACCGAUCCUGAUGUUAUCGGAUGGAUUUGAGUAAGAGCAUACGGGGCCGGACCCGAAAGAAGGUGAACUAUGCCUGUGUAGGGUGAAGCCAGAGGAAACUCUGGUGGAGGCUCGCAGCGGUUCUGACGUGCAAAUCGAUCGUCAAACAUGGGCAUGGGGGCGAAAGACUAAUCGAACCUUCUAGUAGCUGGUUUCCGCCGAAGUUUCCCUCAGGAUAGCAGUGUUGAACUCAGUUUUAUGAGGUAAAGCGAAUGAUUAGGGACUCGGGGGCGCUAUUUAGCCUUCAUCCAUUCUCAAACUUUAAAUAUGUAAGAAGCCCUUGUUGCUUAAUUGAACG